CCUACGGGAGGCAGCAGUGGGGAAUAUUGCACAAUGGGGGAAACCCUGAUCCAGCGAAGCCGCGUGAGUGAAGAAGUAUUUCGGUACGUAAAGCCCUAUCAGCAGGGAAGAAAAUGACGGUACCUGACUAAGAAGCCCCGGCAAACUACGUGCCAGCAGCCGCGGGAAUACGUCGGGGGCAAGCGUUAUCAGGAUUGACUGGGUGGAAAGGGGGCGUUGACGGGAGCGAAAGGCUGGAGUGAAAUCCUAUGGCUUAACCCUUGAACUGCUGUUGAAACUGGGCGGCUAGAGUGCAGGAGAGGUAAGCGGAAUUCGUAGUGUAGCGGUGAAAUGCGUAGAUAUUAGGCAGAACCCCGGUUGCGAAGGCGGCUUACUGGACUGUAACUGACGUUGAGGCACGAAAGUGUGGGGAGCAAACAGGAUUAGAUACCCCAGUAGUC
rnacentral:rRNA from 1 species